AAGUCGUAACAAGGUUUCCGUAGGUGAACCUGCGGAAGGAUCAUUCAAAAUAAAAGUGAAAUUUUAUAAAUAUGGCACUUUUAAAAAAAUCCAUAUCCACCUUGUGUGCAAUGUAUUUAUGAAAGAAAGAAAGGAGAAGAAGAGAGAGAGUAGUGUUAAUUUACUGCUCUCUCGCUCUCUCUCUCUCUCUCUCUCUCUUUUAUAUUUCUAUAUCAACACUCAUUAUUGCUUUGAAACUGUUUGUCUGAAACUAAUAUUAUUCUUUGAAUAACUUAAUUCAAAAAUACAACUUUCAACAACGGAUCUCUUGGCUCUC
rnacentral:misc_RNA from 1 species